GGAAGUGCCCUGUGUCAGUCUGGCCGGCUGUGGCCAUGAGGAAAACGUGGGGAGUGUUCACAAAGGGGACAACAUUUUGCAUACAUUUUGUAUGAUUCCUGUCUGUGUUUGGGAGAAAAAUCCUAGCCUUUCUGCUGUGUUGUAAAGGCACGAAGACACAAAUGUGCAGCCGAAUGAAGCAUUCCAGGGCAAGAGGGCAUUCCUGUUGACAAACUGCAAUCAGACAUCUAUUUGUUUCGCCCCUGCCUGUAAUGACACAAGGAAGAGAAGACAACAUUGCAUUCAUGGAACAUUUAUCAAGCAAAGAACAAAAGACGAGCAGCAGCUUGCAAUGUAUAUCAUGGGAGGAAAGGAGGACUGCAUUACAAUAUAUGAAUUUCAAUCAGUAACCUUUCUAGGACAUGAAUUUUUAAGAUGAAAGUGCAAGAUCAUAAUUUCUUGGAAAGUUCCCAAGGAUCUUAAAAUAACUUCCUAAGUCAGCGAAACUUCGGAAGAAUCCUCCGAAGAGACUUUAGCAAUAUUUCACUUUUGGAAGUUCUUUAGCAGAGCACUCUAAGAACAACAUUUAAAUACAAUUUUCAUGAGCACUUCGCUGGGAGUUGGCAUAAAGAACCUAUGAAUGUUACAUGA